AUUGAACGCUGGCGGCAGGCCUAACACAUGCAAGUCGAGCGAGCGCCGCACGGGUGUGUAAUAUCCGGGAAACAUUCCGCUGGCGGGGGAUAAAUCCUGGAAACGGUAGUUCUUACCCCACACCCUCAGCUGUACCCCGAUGGGAUUAGCGCGUUGGUGGGGUAAUGGAUCACCAAGGCGACGAUCCCCAGCUGGUCUGAGAGGAUGACCAGCCACACUGGAACGGAGACACGGUCCAGACUCCUACGGGAGGCAGCAGUGGGGAAUAUGGCACAAUGGGCGAAAGCCUGAUGCAGCCAUGCCGCGUGUGUGAAGAAGGCCUUCGGGUUGUAAAGCACUUUCAGCGAGGAGGCGUUACUCGCAGAAGAAGCACCGGCUAACUCCGUGCCAGCAGCCGCGGUAAUAC
rnacentral:rRNA from 1 species